rnacentral:rRNA from 1 species
GUGAGGAAUAUUGGUCAAUGGGCGAGAGCCUGAACCAGCCAAGUAGCGUGCAGGACGACGGCCCUAUGGGUUGUAAACUGCUUUUAUAUGGGGAUAAAGUGAGCUACGUGUAGUUUAUUGCAGGUACCAUAUGAAUAAGGACCGGCUAAUUCCGUGCCAGCAGCCGCGGUAAUACGGAAGGUCCAGGCGUUAUCCGGAUUUAUUGGGUUUAAAGGGAGCGUAGGCCGCCCCUUAAGCGUGUUGUGAAAUGCCGCGGCUCAACCGUGGCACUGCAGCGCGAACUGGGGGGCUUGAGUGCACGCAACGCAGGCGGAAUUCGUGGUGUAGCGGUGAAAUGCUUAGAUAUCACGAAGAACUCCGAUUGCGAAGGCAGCUUGCGGGAGUGCGACUGACGCUGAAGCUCGAAGGUGCGGGUAUCGAACAGGAUUAGAAACCCUAGUAGUCC